rnacentral:rRNA from 1 species
GACUCUUGGCAACGGAUAUCUCGGCGCUCGCAUCGAUGGAGAACGAAGCGAAAUGCGAUACUUGGUGGGAAUUGCAGAAUCCCGUGACCCAUCGAGUCUUUGAACGCAAGUUGCGCCCCAAGCCAUUAGGCCGAGGGCACGACUGCCUGGGUGUCA